rnacentral:rRNA from 1 species
CCCGCAACGAGCGCAACCCUUACCGUGAGUUACCAGCAUUAAGUUGGGGACUCUCGCGGAACUGCCGGUGAUAAACCGGAGGAAGGUGGGGAUGACGUCAAGUCCUCAUGGCCUUUAUGUCCAGGGCUACACACGUGCUACAAUGGCUGGUACAAACCGCCGCGAAGUCGCGAGACGGAGCCAAUCGGAAAAAACCAGUCUCAGUUCGGAUUCUGUAGAGCUUUCUCGACUCCAUGAAGUUGGAAUCGCUAGUAAU